rnacentral:rRNA from 1 species
CAGCCGCCGCGGUAAUGCGAAGGGUGCAAGCGUUACUCGGAAUUACUGGGCGUAAAGCGCGCGUAGGCGGUGAGUUAAGUCUGCUGUGAAAUCCCCGGGCUCAACCUGGGAAUGGCAGUGGAUACUGGCUCGCUAGAGUGUGUCAGAGGAUGGUGGAAUUCCCGGUGUAGCGGUGAAAUGCGUAGAGAUCGGGAGGAACAUCAGUGGCGAAGGCGGCCAUCUGGGACAACACUGACGCUGAGGCACGAAAGCGUGGGGAGCAAACAGGAUUAGAUACCCCCGUAGUCCCUGUCUCUUAUAC